rnacentral:pre_miRNA from 1 species
AGAACACACAUUAAUUAUCCCUUGGGUCAUGGGAUAAACAAAAACCCUGUAAAAACAAGUUAGCACACCUUAAAAUGGUUCUAGCCUGAUUACUAACCUAUGGAUUUGAUACCGAUUGAUGGGACAAACCU